rnacentral:rRNA from 1 species
CCUACGGGAGGCAGCAGUGAGGAAUAUUGGUCAAUGGCCGGAAGGCUGAACCAGCCAUGCCGCGUGAAGGUCAGUGCCCUAUGGGCGUUAAACUUCUUUUGUGCGGGAGCAAUAAUGGUCACGUGUGGCCAGACGAGAGUACCGUACGAAUAAGCAUCGGCUAACUCCGUGCCAGCAGCCGCGGUAAUACGGGGGAUGCAAGCGUUAUCCGGAUUUAUUGGGUUUAAAGGGUGCGUAGGCUGUGAGGUAAGUCAGCGGUGAAAUGCUCCCGCUCAACGGGGUGAAGUGCAAUUGAUACUGGCAUGCUGGAGUGCGGAUGACGUGGGAGGAAUGUGUGGUGUAGCGGUGAAAUGCAUAGAUAUCACACAGAACACCGAUUGCGAAGGCAUCUCACGAAUCCGCGAUUGACGCUGAUGCACGAAAGCGUGGGUAUCAAACAGGAUUAGAUACCCGAGUAGUC